GAGUUUGAUUCUGGCUCAGGAUGAACGCUGGCGGCGUGCCUAAUACAUGCAAGUCGAGCGAACAGACGAGGAGCUUGCUCCUCUGACGUUAGCGGCGGACGGGUGAGUAACACGUGGAUAACCUACCUAUAAGACUGGGAUAACUUCGGGAAACCGGAGCUAAUACCGGAUAAUAUAUUGAACCGCAUGGUUCAAUAGUGAAAGACGGUUUUGCUGUCACUUAUAGAUGGAUCCGCGCCGCAUUAGCUAGUUGGUAAGGUAACGGCUUACCAAGGCAACGAUGCGUAGCCGACCUGAGAGGGUGAUCGGCCACACUGGAACUGAGACACGGUCCAGACUCCUACGGGAGGCAGCAGUAGGGAAUCUUCCGCAAUGGGCGAAAGCCUGACGGAGCAACGCCGCGUGAGUGAUGAAGGUCUUCGGAUCGUAAAACUCUGUUAUUAGGGAAGAACAAAUGUGUAAGUAACUAUGCACGUCUUGACGGUACCUAAUCAGAAAGCCACGGCUAACUACGUGCCAGCAGCCGCGGUAAUACGUAGGUGGCAAGCGUUAUCCGGAAUUAUUGGGCGUAAAGCGCGCGUAGGCGGUUUUUUAAGUCUGAUGUGAAAGCCCACGGCUCAACCGUGGAGGGUCAUUGGAAACUGGAAAACUUGAGUGCAGAAGAGGAAAGUGGAAUUCCAUGUGUAGCGGUGAAACGCGCAGAGAUAUGGAGGAACACCAGUGGCGAAGGCGACUUUCUGGUCUGUAACUGACGCUGAUGUGCGAAAGCGUGGGGAUCAAACAGGAUUAGAUACCCUGGUAGUCCACGCCGUAAACGAUGAGUGCUAAGUGUUAGGGGGUUUCCGCCCCUUAGUGCUGCAGCUAACGCAUUAAGCACUCCGCCUGGGGAGUACGACCGCAAGGUUGAAACUCAAAGGAAUUGACGGGGACCCGCACAAGCGGUGGAGCAUGUGGUUUAAU
rnacentral:rRNA from 1 species